rnacentral:rRNA from 1 species
GCGGAGGAAAAGAAAAUAACAAUGAUUUCCCUAGUAACGGCGAGUGAAGAGGAAAGAGCUCAAAGUUGGAACCUGUUUGGCUUAGCUAAACCGGAUUGUAAACUGUAGAAGUGUUUUCCUGAUACGCCAGAUAAAUAAGUCCUUUGGAACAGGGCAUCAUAGAGGGUGAGAAUCCCGUCUUUGGUCUGAGCAGUUGUCUUUUGUGAUACAUUUUCAAAGAGUCAGGUUGUUUGGGAAUGCAGCCUAAAUAGGGAGGUAAAUCUCUCCUAAAGCUAAAUAUUUGCGAGAGACCGAUAGCGAACAAGUACCGUGAGGGAAAGAUGAAAAGAACUUUGAAAAGAGAGUUAAACAGUAUGUGAAAUUGUUAAAAGGGAACCGUUUGGAGCCAGACUGGCUUGACUGUAAUCAAUCUAGAUCCUUCUGGAUGCACUUGCAGUUUAUGCCUGCCAACGACAAUUUUUUUUGGGAGAAAAAACUAGGAGGAAUGUGGCCCCUCGGGGUGUUAUAGCUUCUUAGAAAAUAUCCUGGAUUGGAUUGAGGAUCGCAGUGAAUGCCUUUAGGCAAGAUUGCUGGGUGCUUUUGUUGAUAAAUGCUAGAAUUUCUGCUUCAGGUGGUGCUAGUGUUUAAAGGUAAAACUCGCCUGGUAUAUUUUUUAUUCGCUUAGGUUGUUGGCUUA